CUGAGGAAGGUACCUGUAGUGAUAGCUUUCAUUGGGAUUUCAUGGCUAAAGAGAAUGCAGAAGAGUCAACACCUCUUACUUAUGCAAAUCAUUAAGUAUUCAGCAACUCUUAGAGAGCUACCAGAAGCACAGAGAGACUAAGUGACUUAGCUAGAGUCACACAGCAAGUAUUAUUCCAAUCAAGUUGUGCUCCAAUCCAGCCAACAAAUUAGGGAUCUUUUAUGUGUCUAGUGAUCAUGAAGAGUCUGACAUGACUACAGCAAAAGGAUUACUGCACUGCUGGAGGGAUCUAUUUUCAGGCUGAAACUGUUUCACUGAAAAAAGAGAAGAUGGGAAUGGUCUAGCAACCCACCUGCUGAAAUGCUUCAGCAAAAAAAACUUCACCAUCCUAUUUCUCCGAAAGAGAGAACAUCAGUUCAGAAUCUCACCAUCUCACAUGGAAGUACAGAGGCUAUUCAAGGGAUAAUUCCACUACUUAUCUGCAUGGGAACAUUGAUCAGCUCCAUUUUUAACCUGGGCCAGUCACUGCUUCUUAGGAAACCUGGCAGUCCCCUAUUUCUGGGGGUUUGUCACACUGAUGAUGAACUUUGUGUGGAAACCUGAUGAUCAGCAUAAUCCCCUGCAGCUCAGAACUCACUAGCUCAAGAGAUUCUCUCUGAGAGAUGGGAUUACAGAUAAGUGCCAUCAUUCCUGGCUGGGACUACUUGCUAAGAGAAAAGACAUUAUACUUACUUUUCAAUGCAUUUGCCAAAAGUUAUACAAAACGGCAACUGAUUCUUCUUUCCUUAAUGUAGAAAGUGAUACUUUUGAAAGAA